rnacentral:rRNA from 1 species
UACAGAGGUCCCAAGCGUUGUUCGGAUUCAUUGGGCGUAAAGGGUGCGUAGGUGGCGCUGUAAGUCGGGUGUGAAAUUUCGAGGCUUAACCUCGAAACUGCAUUCGAUACUGCGGUGCUUGAGGACUGGAGAGGAGACUGGAAUUCAUGGUGUAGCAGUGAAAUGCGUAGAUAUCGGGAGGAACACCAGUGGCGAAGGCGACUUCCUGGCCUGUUCUUGACGCUGAGGCGCGAAAGCUAGGGGAGCAAACGGG